rnacentral:rRNA from 1 species
AUGUCGAUGUCGUCCUCCAUGGACCACGCCGGCCCCUCCGUGUCCGUCCUGCGCUGGCUGCUCUCCGUCGCCGCCGGGGGCCUCUUCGCGCUCUUCCUCCUCGUCGCCUCGCCGGUCCCCUUCCCCUCCGCCUCGCUCUUCCUCGCCCCGACCUCCCCGGCCUCCUCCUCCACGCGCGCCUCCAAGAACCUCUUCGUCGACCAGGCGCUCUCGGUGCAGGCCCGCGCGCCGCCCGCCUCGCCGCCGCGCUUCGCGUACCUGAUCUCCGGCUCGGCGGGGGACGCCGGGAUGCUGCGCCGCUGCCUGCUGGCGCUGUACCACCCGAGGAACCACUACAUCCUGCACCUGGACGCGGAGGCGCCCGACUCGGACCGCGCGGCGCUGGCGGCGUUCGUGGCGUCCCACCCGGUCCUCGCCGCGGCGCGCAACGUGCGCGUCGUGGAGAAGGCGAACCUGGUCACCUACCGCGGCCCCACCAUGGUGACCACCACGCUGCACGCCGCCGCCGCGUUCCUCUGGGGCGAGGGCCGCGGCAAAGGCGCCGACUGGGACUGGUUCAUCAACCUCUCCGCCUCCGACUACCCGCUCGUCACGCAGGACGAUAUGAUGGAGGUGUUCUCGGAGCUGCCGCGCGACCUCAACUUCCUCGACCACACCAGCGACAUCGGCUGGAAAGCGUUCGCGAGGGCGAUGCCGGUGAUCAUCGACCCGGCGCUCUACAUGAAGAAGAAGGGCGAUCUCUUCUGGAUCCCUCAGAAGCGGGAGCUGCCCACCGCCUUCAAGCUCUUCACCGGUUCCGCGUGGAUGGUGCUGUCGAGGCCGUUCGUGGAGUACCUGAUCUGGGGGUGGGACAACCUGCCGCGCACGGUGCUCAUGUACUACGCCAACUUCAUCUCGUCCCCGGAGGGCUACUUCCACACCGUGGCCUGCAACGCCGACGAGUUCCGCAACACCACCGUCAACCACGACCUGCACUACAUCGCGUGGGACAACCCCCCGAUGCAGCACCCGCACCUGCUCACCCUCGCCGACUGGGACGGCAUGCUCGCCAGCGCCGCCCCCUUCGCGCGCAAGUUCCGCCGGGACGACCCCGUCCUCGACAGGAUCGACGCCGACCUCCUCUCGCGGGCGCCCGGAAUGCUCGCCCCGGGCGGCUGGUGCGUCGGGGAGGUGCCGGCUGCCGGUGCCAACCGCACCGGCGGCGACGACCCGUGCGCCGUUGUCGGGAACGCGGCGUAUGUUCGGCCUGGCCCGGGGGCUGCGCGGCUGAAGCGGCUCGUUACGUCGCUCCUGUCGGAGGAGAACUUCCGGCCGAAACAGUGCAAAGUAGCAGUAGUAGAACAACAUAUUCCCGCCAAAAAAGUAGAAGAACAUAUUCCCUCGGAAAAGGUAGAAGACCAUCACUGA